rnacentral:rRNA from 1 species
CCGGGAGGCGGCGGACGGCUCAGGACAACGGUUGCACCCCCCGCGGCGGUCCCUGCUAGCCGGACACCGCUGGCAACCCGGCGCCAAGACGUGCGCGCAAGGGCGGGCGCCCGCGGGCGAGCAGCGUGACGCAGCGACGGCCCGCCCGGGCUUCCGGGGCAUCACCCGGUCGGCGCGGUCGCGGCGCGCCGAGGGCCCGACGCCUGGCGGAGAA